UCCGGUUUAUCACCGGCAGUCUCCUUAGAGUCCCCAACUAAAUGAUGGUAACUAAGGACAAGGGUUGCGCUCGUUACGGGACUUAACCCAACAUCUCACGACACGAGCUGACGACAGCCAUGCAGCACCUGUGUUAUGGUUCCCUCGCGGGCACUCCUGAAUCUCUCCAGGAUUCCAUACAUGUCAAGGGUAGGUAAGGUUCUUCGCGUUGCAUCGAAUUAAACCACAUGCUCCACCGCUUGUGCGGGUCCCCGUCAAUUCCUUUGAGUUUUAACCUUGCGGCCGUACUCCCCAGGCGGAGAACUUAUCGCGUUAGCUUCGGCACGAAGUUAGUCUAGCUAACCCCUCGCCUAGUUCUCAUCGUUUACUGCGUGGACUAC
rnacentral:misc_RNA from 1 species